UUUCCCUCUAGGUUUUCAACGAGAAAAAUGUUGAGAUUUACCUCGUUUUCACUGCCACGCUUCUUGGAGAGUCUAGAUUUAAGUGGAACUUCAAUUCGUUUUCUUCCGGAAAGCAUCAAGGAUCUUGGUCUACUCAGACACCUAUACUUAAAAAAUUGCAAAAUGCUUCAGGGACUCCCAGUGCUUCCAUCCUAUUUAGAUUCGUUAGAUAUGUCCUUUUGCUAUUCACUGCAAAGACCUGCAAAUCCAGAUCACUUAGUCAAGUUCCAAGAUCGGAUAAAGCAAGAAUUAAUCCAAAAGUUUGAGUCUCGCGUGUUCAGAAUAAUGGAAACUGUUAGUGCUCAAAUACAGAUAUCGAGAUUUCAGGUCCUCCCUCAUCCAUUUUAUUGUUUUGGAAAUCUACAUUAGAAUACUUUUCUUUUUCUCAUUUUAUAGACAUUGUUUUGGUGGUACAGAUAAUAUUUAUGGAUGGCAUAUUCAACGUUGUCGUAUUUGUAUUUGAUGAAGAUGAGAUGUUAAGGAGGUUUGAUGAGGAGGAAGAAGAGGAUAAAUGGCUAAUUGAGAAUGAGUUUGUAGAGAACUUUUCAUUCAAAAUAUCCUCAUCACCUCUUGCGCACCGGAUAUGUGGCUUUAAUCUGUUCUUAAGUUGUGUGACGUCAGCAUACCGUGGCUUUAGUUAUGUUUAUAUUGAAAUCAGAAACAAUACCAGUGGCCAGUCCUUGCGUCGUCAAGUCCAUGUCUUUGAUAUGCGUUUCGAGGAUGAGGUUCGUGCAAUCCAAUCGCUAAGCCACUGGAAAUUAGGGGGCGAUGAUCCUACAUUUGAUAGUGGUGAUGACGUGACAAUUUCAAUGGUUGUCACGUCAGCUAUUCAAAUAAGGACCGUUGGUGUACAAUGGUUGCAUGAAGAGGAAGGAAAGGAUGAUGAUAUCCAAUCAAAGGAUGAAGUUAUCAAUGCCCACAACAGUAGCGAUGAUGAUGAUGAUGCAGCACACAUACCCAAAGUAGAAAUAGCUUCUCGUAUUUUUAGAAAUUAUUAUUGUGGUUACCAUGGUAAAUACAGUGCUCGCAAUUUCACUUAUUGGAAUUUUGCAAAGAAGGGUGUAUUAUUUCAACCGUAAGGGGGUUUUGUAUCUCUAGUAAUCUUCCUCCUUUCUUUGUCUAGCAUGAGAUAUUUUAUUUAUAAAUAUUUGUAAGGGCUUUCAUAUUCAAAAAUGUAAUAUGAUAUUAUUUUAUUAAUUUGUAUUUAUAAUAAGACAUAUUAAAUAUCUUAUUUUAUAUGUUAACCUUUUAUUGACCAAAAUAUAUGUAAAUGUUCAUUUUUUUUCAUGUUAUUUUAUCUAUUUUAUUUCAUCUUUUUAUGUAAAAAUAAAAUAAAAAUAACACAUGAUAAAAUUUAAUUAGAAAAUUUUUUUUGUUUCUAUAUAUAUCCUCUCGUAACACGUUUACUUUUAAUAAAAAAUAAAUAAGCAUGUUUGACUAAGAGGAUUUUAUAAUUUGAAUCUAUUUUAUUUUAAUUAAAAAUUGAAUUGAUUUUAUUGAAUUUUCACAAUAAAUUAAUAUAGAUAUUUUUAUUGUAAAAAUAAAAUAUAAUAAUCAUCAAAAUUAGAAAUUUAAAAAUUAAUUUUGAUUGAAAAUUAUCAAAUUAAAAAAUAGAAUUAAAAUUCAAUAACAAAAGUGGAAAUCGUAAAAUUUUCUAUGAGACUCUUUCUUUUCAUAAAAAAAACAGUUACUUUGAGAUCUUGGUUUGAAAGUCUUGUUAUCCUGAAUCAAAAGACGCAAUCUGUUCAUGAUUUCGAUUAAUGAUCGAUGCAAUUGAAUCAGUUUUCAUACACCAGCACUGCACUGGCACCUAUGACCUCAAACAUUAUGACCCUUUUUUUAUCAACAUUAUGAGGAUCUUGGAAUGUGUUUUCAUUUCCCUGGUUUUUGACAGCAACAGUUGUUCUAGGAGACGCGAGAGCCACAAAGUUCUAACCACUUGGACUUUUUAAUGGGUGGCUGUUGUAGCUAUAUCAUGGCAUGCUCUGUUGAUUUUCCCAACCCAUUCUCCUGAUGCAAGAUCAAGUGCUAAAAGUAUUCCAGGUUUAAAUCUUCAAGAAAUUGCUGAGUAUGUCUGAGGAGAAAUAGACCGCAACCUCAUCUUGUAGAGAAUGACCAACGCCACAGAGCUAUGGUUUUGUGUAGACCCUCACAAACCCAUCUUUGCUUCUUUUUUAAGAACUGAGUGGAGGAGGCGGUGGGAGUGGCCCGAUGGCAGUGAUGGAGGUAUUAAAAGCUCGACCUGUGUUGUUGCACAUACACAAGGUUACCUUCUGUAGAAUUUCAAACUUCUGCAAUAACAGUCCUAUAAGCUCUUUAUUAUCUGGGUAACCGCAUGGCAUUCUCUUGCUAUAGGGAGGGUUUUUUUGUACAAAAAAAGAAUAAGGAGGAAUGAUGAGAAACAGAAGAGCAAGAAGGGACGAAGAUAAAAACAGAGAACAUGGGGGAACGAAGGAGAAGACUAAAAAAUACAGGGGGUGAGAAGGAACGAGUGAUGAGAAACAGAACCAGGGAAGACAAACGAGCCUAACACAGAGACGAAAACGAGAAAACACAGAGGAGGGAGCUUCCAUUCAACCAGCAGCACCUCACGCCUUCAUCACCAUCGUCUUCAUCCUGAGCAGAAAACCCAGAGAGAAAGCAAAAGGAAAGAACCAGUCAGAGUAAAGAAAGCGAAAGGAGGAACAGAGGAAGUAUUACAUAAAGCAUCAAAAAGUACGAAGUCAACAGAUGUUCUGCAAGAUGACACUACCUCAAGACAACUAAAGUAAUAUCCAGAAUCAGAGCUCUGCAAAUUAAUGAAAAUUAUCAAUGAGGACAUUACCAUCCCCAUUUGCUGUUCUCUCCAGCUGAUCAUCAUCCCCUUGUUGCUACUAACCAUUUUCCAAGACUGUGAAUUCCACAAGCCCAUUUGAUGUUUUCUCUAAAACAACUAAAAAACGCUUGAGUUCUCUUCCAAUUUUCCGAUGAGCCAAGUCAACGGGAAACCUCACAUACUCUUUUGACAACAGAAUCCUAUUACUAUCACACCAUGGAACCUCCAUUCUUAUAGAAACCCCACUCAGUAACCCUCUUGCCAUCAGCACUUGCAAUCCCUGAUUCCCUAAACCCACACUCUAUAGCCAAAGACACCAAACAUUGUGCAGCUUCAAUGUCCCUCCACUCCACAGCAAUACUCAAUGGCUCAAAACGGAACACCAGUCGGUAGCCGACCCAGUAGCUGAUUCAGAAUCAUGAUCCUCCACGUGCCUUUUUCUUAUUGGUGGGUGGUAUUGAUGCUGGUUUUGGAUGCGAGAGGAUAGAGAUACGACCAGAGCAGGCGCACAGCGAGAGUGGAUGAGUUGGAUCAUGCGGGUGUCUAAUGUCCCUUUUGGUAACUAUACCUCGCAUUCCUAUAUAAUAAAAUAUUUUAUUUAUAAUAUUGUGCUCAUAGUUUUAAAACCUAACCUGAUCGGUGAUCGAUUUGGUCUAAUAAUCAAGUUACGGGUUAGAUAAAUUAACUCAAAUUAACCCGGGUCAAUAAAAAAAAAUUAAUAAAAAAAAUUUACAAUGUCCAUGUUUGGUCACUGUCAUGUCUUACACGAAAAGACUUAAAGCUAAAAUCCAUCAUCCUUUCUUGCAUGGUCUUAUCUCUAUAUGUCACUCCCAAAUAAAUCCAGCAGAGCCCCUUUCCUAGCUGGAAUUCAACAAUCCACCAUCCCCCGACCUCAACAAUUGCAAACCUAGUCAAUAACAGCAGUUUUCACAACAGCCACGUAGCAGCUCCACCACCACCACUCUACAUUCUCUAUCGAUUACAGUCCUUUUAUCACUAAAUCACAACAUCUAUUGCCCUUCUCACGCCACCCAAAUCCUCUCCCCAUAGUGGCCUUUACCAGCAAUUCACAAAAAAACCCGAGCGACCAGCCACCACUUUAAACUGAUAGUCUCUCCACCAUGACCCUUCUCCUCCACCUCUCAGCUUUUUUACACACAAAUACUCGACAGUCUCUUUCCACCAUGCUGCUCGCUCCCCUCCCCUCUAAUCUAUUCUUAUAAAGGCUUGAGAGAAUUGUAACUAAGUUAUAAGAUAAAUGAAGAAAACCAACAAUACGGUCGCUGAGUUAUAAAGCAACAAACAGCACAACCACUUGAAUCUAUAAAGAACAAAAAAAAAAGGAAGGUAGUCGGGCCUUAGCCGGGUUUACCUGGGUCGACUGGGUUCCGGGUUGACUCUUUAAGUCGAUCGGAUUUUGUCGGGCCAACUCCUCGGCGCAUUUUUACUUAGACUCGGACUGGUUCCAGGCCCGGGUCAGCUAGGUCCCGAGUUGACCUGCCGGGUUGGUCCAGGUUUUAAAACUAUGAUCGUGCCGCAUAGACUUGAAGGGUUGUCUUAAAAUUUUGGAGCAGAACUGCUUAGAUUACUGAUACCGAACAACAACCACAACUUAAGAGAGAAGGGAAAGGGAAACUUGCAGGUACUCUCUCUUUCUUAUCUCCUGUUUACUUUGGUUCCAGCUGCUGUCUUGUUUUCUUUGUUGAUGAUCACUUAGAUUGAACCACUGUUAGUGACUACUUGUUUAUCAUCUCAUCUUAUCAUGCCACUCAAGAAAUUAUAAACUAACAAAUUCACCUCCGUACUUAUGUAAGAGAAUAUGCUGAGGUUCUCAUGAGGAAAAACAAUAUUUAGAAAAUAAUGUGUUGUUUCUAUUAGCGUCAGUUGUUAUUGAGAAUCUUAGUGGUAAGACCUAUAACAAGAUGAUUCAUAUAAAAGAAUUAUGUUAGAGACUCAUGAUGAGAUGAUCUGUAUACUGGUGUUGUGUUAAGAACUCCAAAUGAGAUGGUUUAUAUAAAAUUAUUGUGUUAAGGAUCCAAAUGUGAUGACCUACACAUAAAAGAUAUUUGUGGAGAACGAUUGCUAAUCAAGGUCCGAACUUAAAAGACAAGUUUCUUCCAACAUGAGAAGACUAACAUGAAUUUUUUUUUAGAAAAAUAAAUAUUUUUCUUAGUUAAUUUUAUUUUUUUCUAUUUCUAUUUUCCUAUUAAAUAUUAUCAGGCUUUUCUAGUUUUUCUAUUUGAAUGAAAUAUUUUUUUCUAUUUCUAUUUUUAUAUUUAAUGCUAAUAUGGUUUUUUUAGUAUUUCUAUAUAAAGGGUUGUAAUAACUUUUGAUUAGUGGAGACUUAGAUGAAAAAAUAAAUAUUUUGGACGUCUCUCAAUAAUUAUGGUGUUCUGGGUCUUUGAGGGUUUUAACUUAUAACAAAACCUAUUAUUCUCUGUACCUGUCUAUGUUAGUUAAUAUUAGAGUCUAAUGAUUCAUGGUGGUUUUGGUUGGAUGUCGUAGAUGACCUGUAUCAGAGCUCAAUGAUUUCUUAUGGUUAAUUGCUAUGUGUUGUUGAAUAACCAUGGCUAAAACAGGUUGCAGAACAAGACGUAGUUGUGUAGGAGGGGAUGAUAAGGUUUCCCGUAGAAAAAAAUACAUUAAGGAAUUAAUGUGAUGUUUCUAUAUACUUUGGUUGUUGUUAUUGAAAAUCCUAGUGGUAGGACCAAUGAUGGGGUAACCCACAUAAAAGUUGUGUUAGAGAUUUAGGAAGAGAUGACUAAGAUAAAAGUAUUGUAUUAGGGAUCUAUAAUGAGGUGACACUAAAAAAAUAUUGUGUUACACAAAGGAUAUUCAUGGAGGAUGAUUGUUGACCGAGGUUUGAACACAAAGAUAAGUUCUUUUCAACCCCGAAAGACUGAUGGAAGAGUUUUUUAGGAAUAUAUAUAUAUAUAUAUAUAUAUAUAUAUAUAUAUAUAUAUAUAUAUGUCUUUGUAAUUUUUUUUUUAAUUUUUAGCUUCCUAGUCAAUAUUAAAAUACUCGCUCUCAUUGGUUUUUCUAGUUUUUUUUAUUUAUAAUUUGAAUGGAAUAAUUUUUCUAUUUUUAUUUUCUUAUUCAAUAUUAAUAGGGUUAUUUAGUAUUUAUAUAUAAAGGGUUGUAAUAGAUUUUGGCGAGUGGAAAUUUUGAUGAAUAAAAAUUGAAUAUUUUUAAGGGUUUUGAUGUAUAAACAAACCCUAUUAUCAUUCGCUCUCAUAUGUGUCACAAUCAACACGGUCAAACUCUAGCUUCUUUGUAUUUUUUUAAUAUCAAAAUGAUAUAUAUAUAUAUAUAUAUUUUAAUUUUGAAAUGAUAUUAUUUUAGAUUGAUUUGUGUUAAUCGCAUAACCUGUGACCAAUGCGUUGGCCCGAAUCAUAGGUAAGGUCGAGUUUAAUAACUUUUGUUUUCAUAAGAUAAAUUAAGUUCAUUUAGACUAUUUGCAUCAGUUUUAAGAAAUUAAGAAAAAUCAUAGCGUGAUUGAGGUUAAUUCUUAGUUUUAAUGAUAAAAUAAUUCCGACACUAUAAUUUUCAUAUACCGAUAUUAAUUCUUUCUUCAAUCACGUCUUCAACAAACCAUUUAUAUGCAUAUAUAGAUUGAUGUAUAUCAUAAAAGUUUAUUUACAAGAAAAUUUUUUGAAUUUGAAUUUUGAGUAUGAUAGCUACAUGAAAUCUACUUACCGUCUUAGUAAAAGAUUAUUAUUUAAUAACUAGGUUAUUUCCCACGCUAAGCUAUGACUUGGAUCAAAAUUAUUUUGAAUAUAAAAAAAUAAUAUCCUAGUUGUGAGGAAUUUUUUAUCAUGAAACUAGUUCAAUAGAUCAAAUUUAAAAACUCUCGAUUUGAUUUUUUAGUCUAAAUUUCAAAUUAAAUAUAUAAUGUUGUAGUUAUUUCAAUAUCACCUAAUCUCUUGUCGGGUGAAGAAUAACAAAUCAAAGAAUAGAAAAUAAUAAAUGACAAAAAAAUAUAAUUUGAUUUUUUAAAAAAUAAAGGUUGAUAUAAAAACAUGUUAGAUCGUAACCCUGGUGAAGCAAUAAAGAGAUUUACAUCCACUGCUUCCUGCAUGAUGUUUGGUUCUGUGGUAUAAAGAACAUGUGGUAUCCUAACUACUGCUUUGAAAAUCCAAAGUACAUAAUUCCUACAGCUAAACCCGAAAUUGGGCUUAUGCUGAAUUAUUAGGACUCGUUUACAUGCUAUACAUCUAGAUAUGACUGUUGAUAAUAACCUUACAUGCAGAGAUAUACCUAUGGUUUGUGUUAUAUAACAUUGAAAUUAUAAUUCCUUUGUCAAUCUUUGUAACAUGUAUCCAAUUGAGGCUUCUACGGGCUCAUAAUAGAACCUUGAAUUUUCUGUUUUGCAAAACUAGCUAGAGCCUUCCUUUGAUUCGUGACGCUUUCGGUGUAUCCUGCCAGAAGUGGAAGACUACCUUGUUCUCCCUUUUUACUUGCUUGUCCUCGAAUUAUCUGUCGGUGAUUCCUCGACAAAGAUGGUUAGUUGGUUACCUUUGAUGCUCAUGAUCGCUCUGCUUGUUGACACACAUUUGUAAUCUCUCUUCUAGACAUGCUGAAUACAGCAAGAGCAAACAUGAGUACCGAGGAAAAGGAAAGAACAAAUGAAGACGCAACUUAACAUAAUGAUCUCCUCGUAUGGCCAAAAUCAGUUCAAAUUAAAGAGACAGUACUGAGAGGACAACGGUGCUCAUGGUAAGAGAAGCCAAAAUCACCCAACUGAUUAACAAAUCAAGACGGUCAUUAAACAAUUUGAUCACUUCUCUGUUACUGUCUCAUGGUGGGUGCACAUGUUUACCCAAUUACAUGUGCUGAAUUGUUAAGUGGGGAGAAUUUUUUCAGUUGCCUUGAUGGAAGGCAAAAUUGGGACACUCUAGACACCCGAUCAUGUGAACAAUUAGAGGUGUAGAGUGGAAACUGAUUAAGACCAAUCUUGACGAAUCUAAGAACUGGUAGUCUCGCCAGAUGUUGAGAAAUCAUGUAUUAAACCAGUAUAUUCCAGAUCACUUGUAAAGGAAAGCCGCAACAAAGCUAGCAAAUGGUUGUAUAUACGGAAAGACAGUAUGAUGGAUAGAUAUGGCCUAAGAAGUUCUGGCUAGGAGAUUGGGUUUUAAGCGGGACCAGUGUGACCCCUCCAAUCUUUCCUGGGAACUUGCUUAGUGGAAGGAUUAUCCAUACGGUACUAUUUUCGUAUAUAUAGCAGUUUGUAAUGAAACGGUUGAAGACUAGCAGGAUGACGGCACAAGGGAACAGUUGGGUUUCGUAUGUUCAAGGAUCUGAUGGAGUGAUGAUUUCUCCAAAAAAGUUAGAUUCGGUGACUGUGAUUUCUCGAGGGUAGAAUUGAUGAAGACCCUGAUAAUGGAAGAGAAAUACAAGGGAAUAAAGAUUGACACCCUAUUUUGACUUGGACAGAUGUUGUGACAGGAUGAGCUGCUAUCAAACAUAAGCAAGGAAUAUGGAGAAAUCUGGAGAACAUAAAUUGCACGAGGGCACACGGAGAUUGUGCAGGAGUACCCGUGAUUCAACGAGGUACUGUAAUGAGACAACAGGUGCAAGGAGAAGAAGAGUUCCCAGAUGAAGCUCAGAGUAUAGACUAUGUAGAAGUUGGACAACAGGAAGUCUCUUGUGCUCUUGAUGAAGACAAAAGGCGAAGACCUUUCCAAUGCAUGCAAGGAUGGAAAGAGAGCUGUUGUAGAAGCACCUAAUUGAGGAGGUGCAAAUGCCUGCGAUAAAAGGCGACCGUCUACUAUGAAAGGCGAAGACACCAAAAAGAGUUGGUGUAGGUGGAGCUGUCAAGCAGAAAGGCACAGAAGCUCCAAACAUAGAAAUCGAGGUGGAGGAUUGCAAGGAGUAUACCGUAAGUUUCUUUUUCUAUAUAAUCAGUGGCAGUUAUCUCUUCCAUAGUCCACAUGGUGGUAGAGACUUUUGGAGCCACUUUGAAGCAUCUCAACUAAAGGAGGAUGCGACCACCUAUGAAAGGUGAAGACACCUUAGAUGGAAGGUGUGUGGGCCAUGAUAGGAGCCCAUAUCAGACCGCCCCACGACAACGGGCGAAGACACCUUAAAGAAGGUGUGUGGGCCGUGAUUGUGCCAUCACAACUAUUUUCGUAUAUAUAGCAGUUUGAAAUGAAAUGGUUGAAGACUAGCAAGACGACGACACAAGGGAACAAUUGGGUUCCGUAUGUUCAAGGAUCUGAUGGAGUGGUGAUUUCUCCAAAGAAAGAUUUGGUGACUGUUUUUUCUCGAUGGUAGAAAGCCCGGAUCAGACCGCCCCAUGACAACGGGCGAAGACACCUUAGAGAAGGUGUGUGGGUCGUGAUAGGAGCCCCGGAUCAGACCGCCCCAUGACAACAGGCGAAGACACCUUAGAGAAGGUGUGAGGGUCGUGAUAGGAGCCCCAUUUCAGAUCGCCGCAUGACGACGAGCGGAGACACCUGAGGAGAAGAUGUGUGGGCCAAGAUAUGAGCCCAGUUCAGAACGCCCCAGAGCCAAUGUGAUGGCUAGAUAUGAGUGGACAGGUGUAUAGCCAAUGAAGUGGCUAUGAUGAGUAUGAAGACAAAUGCAGGAUUGACUUUUAUGGAUAUUGCCCCCAUGCUAAAGAUCAAUGAGUUAAAAGACAUUUUCCUUGGACAAUAAGUGGGUGACUUGUGGAGCAUUAAGACGCGACUGCUAGGAAUGAGCAGUAGGCAUGCGCAGGUUCCGGGAACAAGUUGACUCUUGUCAAGGUGGUGAGCUCGGUGAAGGCAUUGUAAUACUCAAAGUAUCAAGACAUAUAUGGAUCAAACUUUAAUGGGCUAUCCCCAUAGGUAAAGGUGGAAAGCUACCUGGACUCUUGAGACUAAGAGCGAGAGACUCAUGGAGAAGUAAGGCGUGGUUCCUAGGGUGGAACAGAGGGUAGACGCAACUCCUAGAUGAGUAGACUCUUGGAAGAGUGUUGAGCUCGUGAUCAUAUUGAGAUACUCAGAUAAUGACUGUCGCACUUGGAAAUGGAAAUUUCUGUUUGAGGGGGUGUUGUAAGCCUUGGUGUAAGGCUUGAUGAUUCAUUCCGGACCGAGCAUGGUUGAUACGCUCGAAGGGGAAUGCAGUGUGUCCCAGAGACAAGCGUUAACACUCUUCAGAAGUGAAGUGGCAGACCAUCUAGUUGUUGUGAUCCUUUUGUGUGAGAAAAGGUGUGCUUUGGUAACUCUGGUGAUUGAAAGGUUUGGCGAGUACCUGUAAACUUGGCCACAGAUGCUCUCAGAAUGAUAAGCUUGGAAGAGUUGCAUGAUGCAAGCUUGUGCUGAAGAAGUAAGAGGACAAUUGCCCAUAUAAAUAUCAAAGGGGGUGAUUGUUGGGAUAUUGCCAUUAAUGGGCAAUAACAGUUGCAGCCUACCUUAAGAAAGAGGGAAGCCAUUGUCAAAAGGCUACAAUGGUUGUUGCACCAACCAUUGAUAAAAUGGUGCAACCCAUGUGCAGCCACCUUUGUUGAAGAAGAGCUGGAGCUGUGGCACCAUUCUUGCCUAUAAAUAGGCACCGAGAGAGAGAGCAAAGUUGAGAGCAGAAAGUGUGGUGAGUGAGUGCAAGAGAGUAGAGAGAAAGAGAGAGCUGCAAUGGCAGCAGCCUUGCUGCCAUUGCAGCUGCUGCAAGUGCAGCAAUGAGAGCUGGGAGUAGAGUUUGAGUGAAGUGAUCCUCCUCCUCCAUGUAUUUGUAUUGUAUCCUUUCUCUAUCUCUAAUAAUAUUGAUCCUCUCCCGUGGAUGUAGGCAAUUUGCCGAACCACGUUAAAUAUUGUCUCAGUGUGCUUAGCCUCCUAUGAGCAACUAUCAGUACACCACCGGUCCGCGCAUAGGGGAGCCGAAAUCCCCAACAGGUGGCAUGAUGCAGUCCCCUAAAAAAACUUUUUUAUGGGGUUAUACAUACACUUUUCAUAUUUCUAAUAAUUCACAUGACAUUAACAAAUGAUACGAGUCUUAAAUAAGAAUCUACAAUACACUAAAACAUCCUUAUUAACGAUCCUUAACUCCGACAGCAUCUAGGAUUCCUUGAAUAAUAAGAUAUCUCACACACACCUAGAAAUCCUUGACUCCUUCCCCUCAUUUUGUUAGGUGCUUAGCAUACUGGCAGCUAUUUCCAUGUGAUUCCUCCUAUCAGGUAGGCAAAAAGUAAUCAUUGCAUUAAACAAACUAAGAGUGCGUUUGGAAAUAUGGUUGAAAUUGUGUUUUCUUAAAAUUCAAUUUUGUUUUGCUAAAAAUUAUUUUUUUAUGUUUUCAGAUCGUUUUGAUGUGCUAAUCUCAAAAAUGAUUUUUUAAAAAAUAAAAAAAUAUUAUUUUAAUGUAUUUCUAAAUGAAAAACACUUUGAACUGCAACCGCUAUUACAAUCCCAAACAAGUCUAAGAACACAUAUAAAACGAGUUAGAAAACAAUCCAAUUGGCUCAGGCAAUGAUCAACAUGAUACAAAGAACUUUCAACUGAUAUACCUUAUUGCAGGAAGAUCAAGGUCUUGUUUUCUAUUUGUGUUUGCAAUGACUUCAGAAAGAGUUUGAAGAGUACCUGUCAUUCCAAAUAUCCUCACCCGCUGCGCACCGGAUAUGUGGCUUUAAGCUAUUCACAAGGUUAAUUUUCUGUCAUGUCAGAAUACGGUCGCUAUGAUUAUGUUUAUCUUGAAAUCAGAAACAAUAUCAGUGGCCGAUACUUGUUUUGUCCAGCCUUUGUCUUUCCUACAGAUUACGAUCAUGGGAUUGCUGAAUUCCAAUCGCUAAGCCACUGCAAAAUAGGGGUCGAUGAUCCUACAUUUGAUAAUGGUGAUGACGUGAGUAUUUCAGUGCUUCCACAUCAUCCAGCUAUCCACAUAAUCUUUCUUCCAUUUAUUGUGUAUGGGACUUUGCUUGCUAAAUUAUUAUGCCUAAACAAUAAGACAUCAUAUUCCAACUCCAUACCCAAAUACUCGCCUCAAGCAAAGAUUCCAAAACACACCACCACACCCGCCAGACCACCUUGCAAUGCAUGAUAAUAUGACUCAGAUUCGGCAGCUUCAGUCCACAACACCUGGAUAAACAAUUCACGUUAUAGCAUGCUUGGCGAGCAAUUAUGCGGCGAGUACUAAGUGAUCUGCCUACAAUAGGCCUAACAUCCUCCCCAAUCGAGAAGGAUUUUGCUGGAAACAAAACCAUAACCCCCAGGUGGUCUAAAUGUAGAGAAAAGUUAGUCAGGCUGAAUAAUCUCAACAGCUGUAUUUCUCAUUAUCACCCCUCUUCAAACGAAUCCUCAUCGUGACCCUGCUUUAUCAGAAUUAUCGCAGAGAACUUUUCAGUGAUAGGAAGUUGAAUAUGUAAUCGAUAACUUAUUAAGUUGUUUAUGUGGUGGAUGUUUUAUUGUAUAAUAUGAAAAUCAUGUGCUUGCGUUACAACUUCUCUCUUUUUUCUUUCUCUCUCUUCCUCUUCUGCUAUUUAUCUCGCCAACCAAACCUCCCACUCUUUCUUUCUAGAAAUAAAGUUUAGAAGUCAAUUUGUUAGAAAUUAGAAGAAUCAAUAAGUCUAGGGACUUAAUUGAAAUUUGGUUUAUGUUAAUUAAUGCAACUAGGGACUUAAUUGAAGAAAAAAAAAAGUUUGAGAAUCAAUUUGUGUCAAGAUUGCAAUAAUUAAAGGUUCAAAGACUAAAAUGAAUGGGUGUUGAAGUUUUGAGAGGCAAAUUAAUUUAAUCAAGGGUGAAAUCAAAAUAAUUAAAAGUAUAAAAAGGCAAUUGAGGAUGAAAUUAAAGAAUAUCAAGACCAAUGACCAUGCUGUAAAAGAUACUAAGUGCUCAAUCAAAGAAAUCAAGUGGCAUAAUUGAAAAGAUUAUUAAAGAUUGUGACCAAUUGAGGGUUUGUUUGUGAAAUAACAAGAAAUAGGAACCAAAAUUGACUUUCACUUAUUCAAAUUUUUUUUAGGUAAUUAGUUUAGAAUUAAACUUAUUUACAUGCAAUUGGCUAAUUAACAUACAAUUUGAAACAUAAUAAAGGCUGCCUAUUAAAUAUAUGUAUUAAUAGAAAACAAUUUAAAAAAAAUAAUCUUAAAACUAGGUAAAAUAUAAGUUGAGUGAACUCUUCACUCCAUGAUAGGGAAACAAAUUGAAUAAAAUCAAUUGGUUUGUAGCAAUUCAAUUUAAAUUAUUUUCUCUUGUAUAGAGGAGGUGUUGCUAAUUUUUUUUUUAAAUAGGAAUGGUUUAUGACAUUUUAAUUUUUUAAUUUGUGUAGAUGUCAAGAGGAAAGUCAAUCGCGUGUCAUAUGAACAUGAUCACUGCUAGUUCUUGUAGCAAUGCUUCUGACGACCAUGAAUUGUUAGGUGUCGAUCAAGAAUAAACACCUGAAAGAUAGAUAUUUACUUACGAUACGAGCUCGUUGAGUACCUUCUGAGUGAAAUUUUAAAUGGAAUUUUUAUUAUUUUUUUUUUAUUCUAUCAAAUUUUUUUGAUAUUACAUAUUUCAUCGCUAUCUAUGUCAGAAAUAAAUAGCAUAAAUUUUCUAUCUUAUUGGUGGAAUAUUUUUCGUAGGUAUUUUCAUAGCUAUUUGCUAGUUUUCUUCUAGUAGUGAAACGACUAAAAAAGAAAAGUUGCAUUAGUCCUAAAUGUUAGGAGUAAAUUGAAAGCAAUCCCCAUUUGUUUUUAGUAUGAUCAGAUUUCUUUGCUCAACUACUUGAAAGACAUUUGAUACAAUACGUUUUGGUCUAAACCGAAGACAAUAUUUUUUAUAAAAUUAAUUGACCUGUUGUUGAUUGGUCUACUAACGAUGUUUUAUGAAAAAAAAAAAAAACCAUUUAUAAAAGCAUGUGAGGAGAAACUGAUUGGAAUAUAGACGUAAUGGAAAACUAGGAGAAAUUAAUGGCAUGACUGGUCAUGCCUAGACAUUCCGACUUUCUGCUUCCGGCAUUAAUUAGCCAUGGAAAAUUCCUCACGCGGAAAUGGUCCAUACCAUAGAGAGAGAGGACUUGUAGGGAUGACUUGUCUUAAAAUUACAAUCCACCCUUUCUCUCUCAAUUUUAAAACCAUUCGCCCAUGUCUUGGGCCCAGUUGUAGACUUGGUCUGAGGAUCUAUCGGAGACGUUUCGUUUUAACAAGACAGCAGAGUUCCGCGUCUUUGAAUCAUUGGCAAUGGCAGCUAUGAAUUCGAUGGAAUUUGGAUAUAAAAAACUCGUGAAUUAUAUUUUUUAUAAAUAAAAUUUAAAUUUAAAUAAAAAAAUAUUAAUUUAACUAAACCUUGCUAACUCCCAAUAGGAUCAAUAUCAAAUAAUUAUUUUUAAAACAAAAGGUAAAAUAAUUUUAUUUUUAUAAAAUAACUGACUUAAGUUAAUUGGAUAACGCAGUUACCCGGAAUUUAUUUUAGAAGCAUAUUUAAGAGUAUGGUAGUAAUUACUUUUUUAAAUUGUUUUUCAUUCCAAAACAUAUUAAAAUAAUAUUUUUUUAAUUUUUAAAAAUUAUUUUUAAUAUUAGCACAUUAAAAUGAUUUGAAAACAUCAAAAAUAUAUUAAUUUAAAAAAAAAAUUUAAUUUUUUUUUAAAAUACUUUCAACCUGUAAUACCAAACAUAUCCUAAUUGUGUUUGUACGAGUGUCUCUAAUAUCCCUUUUGGUAAUUAUACUCUACGCGUGAUAAAUGAUUUGAAUUUUGAGACAAUUAGAAUAAAAAAAAAUGGUCCUAACGCGGAAAUGGCCCAGACCCCAGACUUGUAAGGUUUAUACAAGAAUUGUCUGGCAACGUAGUAUAACUUGUAUUUUUAAAAAUUUUAAAAUUUUUUAUUUUAAAUUUUUUAAAAAUAUUUUUAAAUUAUUUUAAUAAGCUUAUAUUAAAAAUAAUAUAUUUAAAAUAAAAAAAAUAUUAUUUUAAUUAUUUCUAAAAAAAUAUCCCUUUAAAAAAUAACAACACUUUCGAUCACAACCUAAAAGCAUAAAAUUGAUGAACUGAUAAGAGAACAUCAGCGAAGGGAAAGUGAAAAUUGAUGAACUGAUAAAAGCAUAAAGGUACUCUCUCUCUCUUAUCUCUUUUAGUAUUAUGUUAUAUUGUGGAAUGUAACUCUGCUGUAAGUGAGAAUCACUUAAAUUAAUUCACUGUUAGAAACUAAUCAUAGAUGAUCUCAUCAACCGAUUUUGUUGGUUCAGCAUAGAGAUUUAUCAGAUGUACAAAUAUUUUUCUGAAAGGGCAUGGAGGAUUUGAUUGCCGGGAAAUAACUUGAAAACUGUUUUACAGAAAAAAGUAAGAUAAUAAUAUAUGAAUACUUCAGCUUAUUGGUGUGCUAUCGAUCUUGAACUAUCGACUUGAAUCCCGCAACUCCUUUUUUUUUUUGUUCAGAUCUUUGAAAAGUCUUAUCUUCGCUAGACUCGAAAUGGCUGCUGGGAAAUAUCAAGAAUCCUACUCUUCACGGUUUUCUUAUUGUAAAUAUCAAGUGUUCUUGAGUUUUAGAGGUGAAGACACCCGCAAGAACUUUACCGAUCACCUCUACAAGGCCCUGGUUGAUGCAGGGAUUCACGCAUUUAGAGAUGAUGAUGAAAUUCGGAGAGGAAAGAAUAUAGAGCUGGAGCUCCAGAAGGCAAUACAGCAAUCAAAAAUAGCGAUAAUCGUGUUCUCCAAAAACUAUGCUUGGUCGAGAUGGUGCCUCGAUGAACUCGUAAUGAUCAUGGAACGUAGGAGGACUACCGGCUCCAUAGUUUUCCCAGUUUUCUAUGAUGUGGAUCCAUCCCAAGUCGGACGUCAAACAGGGAGCUUCGCUGCAGCAUUUGUGGAACAUGAAAAGAGCUUCAACGAGGAGAUGGAGCGGGUGAAUGGGUGGAGAAUUGCUUUGAAGGAAGUGGCUGAUUUAGCUGGAAUGGUUUUAGGAGACAGGUAAGUUGUAUCUCUUUAUGAAACUAUACAUAGCAUAAGACUAGAAUGCUGGUCGUGAACUCUAAAUUUCUUUCAGUUAAGUAUACCGAUAAGAAAACAUAUAAAAAAAAUAAAAUAAAAUACUUAUGAUUUCUUCGUUGUUUUUUUUUUUUUCCAAUCUUGAUUUGGUUUUAAUAGCGGUGAUAACGCACCUACAAAAUUAACUAUCAAUCAAUCAUUGACACGCAACCUGCUUUAAUUUCUUAUCUAAAUGUUGUUUAUUUCAAUCCUUUAUAGAGAGGCUACUAAUUAUCCUACGUUGUAUUUUACCUUUUGAUGUAGGUACGAGGCACAGUUUGUCCAAUCUAUUGUGGAGAAUGUCUCAAAGAAUUUGGAUCCAAAAAUAUUUAAUGUUCCCCUUCAUUUCAUUGGAAGAGAUCCUCUGGUACAAUAUAUCAACUCAUGGUUGCAAGAUGGAUCCCAUGGUGCUGCCAUUGCUUUACUCUAUGGAAUUGGUGGAGUUGGAAAGACAGCCAUAGCUAAGAGUGUUUUUAACCAGAACUUUUAUAAAUUUGAAGGAAAGAGCUUUCUAUCAAAUUUUAGGUCAAAGGAUAUAGUUUGCCAAUAGACCCAACUUCUUUUUGACAUCCUAAACAAGACUGUUGAGAUAAAUGAUGAAGAUGAAGGAAUUCUGAAAAUUAAGGAUGCAAUAUGUUGCAGAAGAACUCUUAUUGUUCUAGAUGAUGUGGACAAAAGGGACCAAUUCAAUAAAAUCAUUGGCAUGCAAAAUUGGCUUUGUAAAGGAAGUAAAAUCAUUGUAACAACCAGAAAUAAGGGUCUGUUUUCAACUAAUGAUAUUGAAGGGGUCCGGUGCAAAGUUGAACCGCUAGAUGAUGAAAAAUCACUUGAGCUUUUCAGUUGGAAUGCCUUUGGACAAGCUGACCCUGUUGAUGGUUUUGUAGAAGACUCUUGGAGAAUAGUACAUCAUUGUAAUGGACUUCCAUUAGCUCUUCGAGUUAUUGGCUCUUCAUUGUCCGGAAAAGGAAGAGAGAUAUGGGAAAGCGCAUUCCAACAAAUGGAAGUGAUUCCUAAUUUUGAAGUUCAAAAGGUUCUUCGAAUAAGUUACGACUUUCUUGAUGGUGAUUAUCCGAAGAUCUUAUUCCUUGAUAUCACAUGUUUCUUCAAUGGAAUGGAUGUGGAUGAUGCAGUUAGGAUACUGGAUGGGCUCGAUAAAGGUGCAAGAUUUGGGAUUGACAAUCUCAUCGAUAGAUGUCUUGUUGAAAUCAACAAUGAUCAAAGGUUGUGGAUGCAUCAACUAGUAAUAGAUAUGGGAAGGGAAAUUGCUCGUCAAGAAUCACCCAAAUGUCAAAGAAUAUGGCAUCAAGGGGAUGCUUUUACAGUUUUGAAAGGAACUACUGUAAGUAGCUGAAUUUUUUUAAAUGUCUACUUAAAUGGUUUGUGGUGCCUUGACAUAUUCAUUCAUCUACUUUCCUUUCUCAUGUACUUUUAAUAUUGUUAUGCAGGAUGCUGAAAAAUUGCGUGGCCUUACCAUUGAUAUGCAUGCAUUAAUGGAAUAUCAUUAUGCAGAAGUUGUCUGUACUGAUUCAAUGGUUUGUCGCAAGCGCCGCAGGCUUAACUUCUUUCAACAAUGGCUUUCCGAUUUUUUCGAUGGGGGAAAAUUACAAACUGGCCAAACAAGUUUGUUUCCCAUCCUCAACACGGAUGCUUUUAGAAAGAUGCCAGAUGUAAAAUUUCUCCAACUAAACUACACUAAUUUUCAUGGAAGUUUUGAGCACUUUCCCAAGAAUUUGAUAUGGUUAUGUUGGCAUGGAUUGUCUUGGAGCUCCAUACCAAAUCACGUAUGCUUGGAGAAGCUGGUGGUUCUUGAUCUAUCCAGAAGUUGUCUAGUUGAUGCUUGGAAGGGCAAACCGGUAUGUAUCAAGUCUCUAUAGCUAUCUCUCUCGUUUUCAAUUGAUAACAACUAAAUUCAUGUAUUUUCACAGUUUCUUUCAAAAUUGAAAAUUCUUGAUCUUCGUCACUCUCGUAAUCUAAUUAGAACCCCAGACUUCUCGGGUCUCCCAGCCCUUGAAAAGCUAAUACUUGAAGACUGCAUCAGUUUGGUUCAAAUUCACGAAUCUAUUGGUGAUUUACAAAGAUUGUUGAUCUUAAAUCUAAGAAAUUGUACAAGUCUUAUGGAGCUUCCAGAAGAAAUGAGUAGAUUGAAUUCACUUCAAGAGCUGGUUUUAGAUGGUUGCUCAAAUCUUAACAGCCUGAAUAUGGAGUUAGAGCAUCAUCAAGGGCGCAAGUUGCUUCAAAGUGAUGGAAUUGUUGCAAGUACAUCAUUCAUUUCUGUUAGUUAGUGGAGACAAACAAUGUCCCACCAUAUGCAAGUGGGAAUACCUAAUCUCCCACUUGGCACAUGGUGGAGGACACAAACGGUGGGCAUAAAUCAAGGCAUGAUUUAUGCCCCUUUACUCCCAUCUUGUAUACAUAUAAGCUCAGUGAAGAGCUGCGUGUGUGAGUGUAAAAACAUAGAGAGAACAGAAGAGAAGUGAGAACAGCAGAGAGAGCUUGUGUGAGUGGAGUUGAGUCGAGAAGAGUUUUCUCCUCCUCCUUUGUUUGUAUUGUUUCUUUGAGUGAUUAAUACAAGACAGUAGCUCCGUGGAGUAGGCAAGUUGCCGAACCACGUAAAUUUGUGUGUGUUUGAGUUCUGGAAUUUCCCAACAACUGGUAUCAGAGCUUGUUCUUGACAAAGAGGGUGUUUGAUCCAAACUCAAAAAUCAAAGUUCUCCAAACGUGUUUUUGAACAUACCAUCGUGUAGAGGACAACCGGACGAAUCCACUGUUGAAAACCCGGCGAAGAACCGACGUCCUGCAUGCCCGCACGCGCCCACACGCGCCGACGUCCAGACUGCCCACGCGCACCAACGCGCCGUACGCCCGCCACGCUCCAUCUUCGCCCGGAUUCUGCAAAACGGGUCGGGCUGACCCGCCACGUCAUCACAUCCGUACGGUCAACGUCCGCGUCACCUGCCACGUCACCUGCCACGUCAUCUCUGAGUUUUGUUCCGAUGUGUCGCAGAAGCUGAUAUUCUGACACGUGGCUACAUCAUAACCGUUGAGGGGUUUUGAUCCAGUACGACGCAGGAUCUAAUCAGUUGACACGUGGUUAAAUCAGGACCACUAUUGAGUAUUGAUCCAGUGUGACUCAGGCCAUCAUCUGCUGACACGUGGCUUCAUCAUAACCGUUACUGAGUUUUGAUACGGUGUGACGCAGGACCUAAUCUGCUGACACGUGGCUUCAUCAGAACCGCUACUGAGGUUUUGAUCCGGUGCGACGCAGGCGGUACUCUGGUUGACACGCGGCUGCAUCUGCACCGUCCGUUAAUCCAAAACUUUGAUUGCUAAAAGCUGAGCCAUCCGAAGUCCGAUUGGGGUGAUCUCAGUGUCAUUUCCAAGGUUUUCGGCUGUUCCGGACACAUCUGUAAGGUCAGAUUUGGGAAAUUCGAAUAGAAGAAGUAGUAAAAAUGGCAGAUGAAAUAAAAGCAGCUGGAAUUGAAAAAUUUGACGGGACAGAUUUUGGAUACUGGAAAAUGCAAAUUGAGGAUUAUCUAUAUGGGAAGAAACUUCAUCUUCCCUUGUUGGGGAGCAAACCAGAAAAUAUGCAAGAAGAAGAUUGGCUACUUCUUGAUAGACAAGUUCUGGGCAUUGUCCGGUUAUCCUUAUCAAGAAGAGUUGCUCACAAUGUUACGAAAGAAAGAUCCACUGCAAGAUUGAUGGAAGCCUUGUCUGGGAUGUAUGAGAAGCCAUCAGCAAAUAAUAAAGUGCACCUGAUGAAAAAGUUGUUCAACUUGAAGAUGGUCGAAAACACUUCUGUGACACAACACCUCAAUAACUUUAAUACCAUCACAAAUCAAUUAUCAUCUGUUGAGAUUGAGUUUGAUGAUGAGAUUCGUGCACUCAUUUUGCUAGCUUCACUUCCAAGCAGUUGGGAAGGCAUGAGGACAGCCGUGAGCAAUUCAGCUGGAAAAUCCAAACUGAAGUAUGAUGACAUUCGAGACUUGAUUUUGGCUGAAGAAGUGCGAAGGAAAGACUCGGGUGAAAGUUCAAGCUCAGGAUCAGCUCUCAACAUCAACACUCGAGGGAGGAGACAUGAUAGAGGCUUAUCCAGAGGCAGAUCAAAAUCAAGAUAUAGAAGUAAAAGCAAGUUUGGACCCAGAAAGCAGGUUGAAUGUUGGAAUUGUGGCAAACCUGGUCAUUUCAUGAGGAAUUGCACAAAACCGAAAAAACCUGAAGCUGACUCUGCAAACGCUACCACAAAUGAGGUGCAAGAUGCUUUGAUUCUUACUGUGCAUAGUCCUGUUGAUGAUUGGGUUCUUGAUUCUGGUGCUUCAUUUCACUGUACACCACACCAUGAAAUGAUGCAAAACUAUAUUGCUGGAGAUCACGGUGUAGUCUAUCUGGCCGAUGGACAACCAUUGGAUAUUGUGGGUUUAGGAGAUGUACAAAUCAAGACAAUGAAUGGAUCUAUAUGGAACUUGCAAAAUGUAAGGCAUGUUCCUGAUCUAAAGAAGAAGCUGAUCUCGGUCGGACAACUUGAUGAUAGUGGUCAUUCAAUCCUUUUUUCUGGAGGUAUGUGGAAGGUAUCAAAGGGAGCAAUGGUUUUGGCUCGUGGAAAGAAAACCGGCACCCUGUAUAUGACCACAAGAUUUGCAGACAUUAUUGCCUCUACUGAAGCAGAAAAUCAAGCACAUCUAUGGCACUGUAGACUCGGCCAUAUGAGUCAAAAGGGGAUGAAGAUACUUCAGUCGAAGGGAAAGCUGGCAGAAUUAAAAAAUGUCGAUCUAGACAUUUGUGAAAGCUGUGUUCUUGGAAAACAGAAAAAGCUCAGUUUCUUGAAGGUUGGCAGGACCUUAAGACCAAGAAAGCUAGAGCUGGUACACACAGAUUUAUGGGGACCGUCUCCAGUAGCAUCUCUUGGAGGUUCUCGGUAUUACGUGACUUUCAUUGAUGAUUUCAGCAGGAAGGUAUGGGUUUACUUUCUGAAAAAUAAAUCUGAUGUGUUUGAAACAUUCAAGAAGUGGAAGGCUAUGGUUGAGACUGAAUCAGGUCUGAAGUUGAAAUGCUUGAGAUCCGAUAACGGAGGAGAAUACAUUGAUGGAGGUUUCAAAGAGUAUUGUGCUGUUAAUGGUAUCAGAAUGGAAAAGACCGUUCCAGGCACACCGCAACAGAAUGGCAUUGCUGAACGAAUGAACCGGACCAUCAAUGAACGAGCUAGAAGCAUGAGGUUGCAUUCAGGGCUACCUCAAACAUUCUGGGCUGAUGCAGUUCAUACUGCAGUUUACUUGAUCAACCGUGGACCAUCAGUUCCUUUGGAGUUCAGAUUGCCCGAGGAAGUAUGGAGAGGAAAAGAGGUACAACUCUCUCAUUUAAAGGUCUUUGGGUGUGUUUCCUAUGUGCAUAUAGAUUCUGAUGCUCGCAACAAGCUAGAAGCCAAAUCCAAGAAAUGUUUCUUCAUUGGUUAUGGAGAUGAAGAAUUUGGAUUUCGGUUCUGGGAUGAUCAGAACAGAAAGAUUAUCAGAAGCAGGAACGUGAUCUUCAAUGAGAAAGUUUUGUACAAAGACAGAUCAAGUGCAGAAACAGAUAUGACUGAUUCAGAUACAAGUCCACAAAGAUCUGAAUUCAUAAGAUUAGAAGGCCUUCCCGAUGUUACUGAGCAGAACAACAAUCAAGAGCCUUUACAAGAAGACUCAAGCAUAUCUGUACCCGCUACUACACAAGAAGAAGCGGAGCAAAUUGAACCAGCUGUUCGCAGGUCUUCGAGGACGAUAAAGCCCCCGCAACGGUUCACACUUUUACUGAAUUACAUUUUGUUGACAGAUGGUGGUGAACCGCUAACUUAUGAAGAAUCCUUACAAGAUGGAAACUCAAGCAAGUGGGAGUUAGCCAUGAAGGAUGAGAUGAGUUCGUUGCUGAAGAACAAGACUUGGGAGCUAACCACACUGCCUGAAGGAAAGAAGGCUUUACAAAACAAGUGGGUUUACAGAGUGAAGACUGAGCAUGACGGAAGUAAACGGUUCAAGGCAAGACUUGUUGUCAAAGGGUUUCAACAAAAGAAAGGCAUUGACUACUCUGAGAUAUUUUCUCCAGUUGUGAAGCUCACAGCAAUCAGAGUUGUUCUGGGGAUAGUAGCUGCAGAAAAUUUACAUCUUGAACAGUUAGAUGUAAAAACAGCAUUCCUUCAUGGUGACUUGGAGGAAGAUAUUUAUAUGCAACAGCCAGAGGGGUUUGCAAUGCAAGGAAAGGAGAAUCAAGUCUGCAAGCUACAGAAAAGCCUAUACGGUUUGAAGCAAGCUCCAAAACAUUUUGACAACUCCUACAUCAUUCUACUAUUAUAUGUAGAUGAUAUGUUGAUUGCAGGAUCCAGCAUUGAGGAGAUUGAUAAGCUGAAACAGCAGUUGUCAAAACAGUUUGAAAUGAAGGAUCUGGGAGCUGCUAAACAAAUACUUGGCAUGAGAAUCUUCAGAGAUAAAGACAAAGGCGUACUAAAGCUUUCACAAACAGAGUAUGUCAAGAAGGUUCUCAGCAGGUUUAGUAUGGAUAAUACUAAACCAGUAAGUACACCACUGGGGAAUCAUUUCAAGCUCAGCAAAGAUCAGUCACCAAAAACUGAGCUAGAAAGUGGAUACAUGGAUAAGAUUCCAUACGCCUCAGCUAUCGGCUCUUUGAUGUAUGCUAUGGUCUGUACCAGACCAGACAUUGCCCAUGCAGUGGGAGUUGUAAGCCGAUAUAUGAGCAAUCCUGGAAAGCAGCAUUGGGAGGCGGUCAAAUGGAUCAUGAGGUACUUAAAAGGUUCAUCGGAAACUUGUCUUAGUUUCACAGCUGGUGGUUUGAAACUUGAAGGUUUUGUAGAUGCUGAUCUAGCAGGAGAUAUUGAUAGCAGAAAGAGCACUACAGGAUAUGUUUAUACUCUAGGAGGUACUGCUGUUUCCUGGAGUUCUACCUUGCAAAAGAUCGUUGCUCUUUCAACAACAGAAGCUGAAUAUGUUGCAGUCUCAGAAUCUGCAAAAGAGAUAGUAUGGUUGCAGAGUUUCCUGAAGGAAUUGGGCAAGUUGAAUGGAAAAGGUACUUUGUAUAGCGACAGUCAGAGUGCAAUCUUCCUUGCCAAGAAUCCAGCUUUUCACUCCAGGACGAAGCAUAUUCAGAUCAAAUAUCACUUCAUCCGACAAUUGCUAGACGAUAAACAACUGAUGCUAGAAAAGGUCUGUGGAAGCAAGAAUCCAGCUGACAUGUUAACCAAAGGAGUUACACUUGAUAAACUGAAGUUGUGUAAAACUUCAGUUGGUCUUCAAGGAUAAAUGAUGAUUUCAUUGUUUGUCUCCAAGUGGGAGAUUGUUAGUUAGUGGAGACAAACAAUGUCCCACCAUAUGCAAGUGGGAAUACCUAAUCUCCCACUUGGCACAUGGUGGAGGACACAAACGGUGGGCAUAAAUCAAGGCAUGAUUUAUGCCCCUUUACUCCCAUCUUGUAUACAUAUAAGCUCAGUGAAGAGCUGCGUGUGUGAGUGUAAAAACAUAAAGAGAACAGAAGAGAAGUGAGAACAGCAGAGAGAGCUUGUGUGAGUGGAGUUGAGUCGAGAAGAGUUUUCUCCUCCUCAUUUGUUUGUAUUGUUUCUUUGAGUGAUUAAUACAAGACAGUAGCUCCGUGGAGUAGGCAAGUUGCCGAACCACGUAAAUUUGUGUGUGUUUGAGUUCUGGAAUUUCCCAACAAUUUCAUCUCUUCCAUUGAAGCUAUUCUUUCCCUCUAGGUUUUCAACGAGGAAAAUGUUGAGAACUACCUCGUUUUCACUGCCACGCUUCUUGGAGAGUCUAGAUUUAAGUGGAACUCCAAUUUGUUUUCUUCCAGAAAGCAUCAAGGAUCUUGGUCUACUCAGACACCUAUACUUAAAAAAUUGCAAAAUGCUUCAGGCACUCCCAGAGCUUCCAUCCCAUUUAGAUUCGUUAGAUGUGUCCUUUUGCUAUUCACUGCAAAGACUUGCAAAUCCAAACAGUUGGACUGAAGGAGAUGGUUGUGAUCACUUAGUCGAGUUCCAAGAUCGGAUGAAGCAAGAAUUAAUCCAGAAGUUUGACUCUCACGUGUUCAGAAUAAUGGAAACGAUUAGUGCUCAAAUACAGCCAUCGAGAUUUCAG
rnacentral:lncRNA from 1 species